AGGAAUAACUGCUAGUGGAAAAACCAGUUGUCCUCAUAAAGGCUGUCUGCCAAACCAAGUGGGUGCAUGUUCCGAGCAGUAAACAAAUUGACAAAACCACUGAGAUAAUUGGAGAAGAGUAGUUUGGUUAUCUGACCAAGGAGGGCCCUUCUCUUGAGGAUGGAGCUAGCCUAUCCCGGUAGGAGGAUGAUCAUGACCCAGAGGAAAACAGGGGAUGGAGCCAAUGACGAUUGGAGCUGUUCUUGGAGCAGAGGUAUCAUCUGCUUCUUGUUGGUUAUGAGCUGCAGAUGGAUGGGGUGGAAGCCCAGAAUGUGAAAGAGAAGAGUCAGAGCUUGAUCUGAUCUGGUCAUUGUAAAGAAGCUGGGUGAGAUGGGGCGGUUGGUUCCAUGCCCAGUUAAGGGGGAAAGUCCCCUUAUGUUGUAGAUUGGCGACACAGUGGGCUGGUUGAUUCCCUUCCCUCCUGACCCAGGAGAGAAUCAACUUCUUGUUGUCAGAUUCAAAGAUAGCUUUUCCCCAGUUCAUAUUAACUGCUGUGACCACUGCAUCACGGAGGAUGAGGGCUUCCGCUAUGGGGGUGAAGGGGCAAAGGCUUUUCUAGUGAGACCCCAGGUUCAGUUGAAGGAACUUUGGAAGGUUCAGAGCACUUGAGUGAAGGAGCUUGUGAUUUCGAAGCUGGAUCAGCUCGAGAUGUCGAUGGCCGAUUGGUUUUCGAUGGUCUCUCCCUCGGGGGGGAUCAGGUAUGAGCUCGUCGAUCGUGCUGCCCCCACCGCUUGGGUGACUGGUCACCGAGCGACGUACAGGGGAAAGGUCAUGGAGGACCGGACGGAUGAGCGAGGACGCCUGACGAGAGGAGUGCUACGGCGUAUGGAGCUGAGUUUUGACUUGCCGCCCUCAGUUCACUAUGGACCAGGCACUGGUCAUGGACCACCUGCACCACAUCCGACUUCACCUUCUGUUGAGGAGGACCCGACAGAGAUUGAGCCUACUGUUGCUGCACCUGUUGCGCCACCUCCUGCUACUGCCAUCGAUCCUACCGACGUGGCGUCGUCCUCUAGGCUUGUGCGGCCGAAGAGGGAGUCCGUCGUCCCAUCUGUCUCACGUCUCUUUUCUUUCUCUUCACCGCACGGCUACCGUGUGGACCCCUUGAUGAGGGUGGUGGAGGAGGAUGUUCUUACAGGAGAGGUGGAUGUGGAGACCGGCUCGACUAGGGCGGUGCGCAGGACAGUUAGGAGGGAGGUCGUUGACUUGGACACCGAGAUGAUUACGGUGGAUUCCGAUUCUGCCUCCGAGAGCAGUGGGGAGAGCUACUCGCCGAGCAGCGACGAGGAGGAGGAGGAGCUAUGAGCUGAGCUGGGAGGGUAGGUUAGGACUAGCGUCAUUUUUUGUGUAGGGCUCUGAUCGUUAGUCUUUUUGGGACAGGGUAGGUUCCGAUGUGUGGCUUUUUGUGUGGUUUUUUUGAGGAGGAUCACAGAGAGUCUGUCGGAGUAUAGGGGUCUUUCUUUCAGGCCAUUUUUGGGUGCCGACUUUCUCUGGAUAACUGUAUAUUUGAUACUUUUACUUAUAGUGCUGGGUUGUAUAUUUUUGCCUGCGGGCAUACUACUUGGAGUCACUGCGAGUGCGCGUGACAUGGAGUGCAGCUGAGGCUGUACAUGUGUAUAUAUUGUAUAUCGGUUAGUUUAGUUGUUGGGUUUUGUCUUUA